rnacentral:tRNA from 1 species
GCCGCGGUAGUUUAGUGGUUAAGGCGCUGCAUUGUUACCAAAAAAUAAUCCACUGAUGGACUUCGGUCUUCAGUCUCCCAAAAACUACUGGUGAGCUUCGGCUUCCAGUCCCAAAAACAACUGAUGAGCUUCGGCUUUCAGUCUCCAGUAACUUACACUGCAGAGAUCGUGAGUUCGAGUUUCACUCGCGGCA